rnacentral:rRNA from 1 species
GACGAACGCUGGCGGCGUGCUUAACACAUGCAAGUCGAACGGAAAGGCCCUGCUUGCAGGGUACUCGAGUGGCGAACGGGUGAGUAACACGUGGGUGAUCUGCCCUGCACUUCGGGAUAAGCUUGGGAAACUGGGUCUAAUACCGGAUAUGAACCAUCUUUAGUGCGGUGGUUGGAAAGUUUUUUCGGUGUAGGCUGAGCUCGCGGCCUAUCAGCUUGGUGGUGGGGUAAUGGCCUACCAAGGCGGCGACGGGUAGCCGGCCUGAGAGGGUGUACGGCCACAUUGGGACUGAGAUACGGCCCAGACUCCUACGGGAGGCAGCAGUGGGGAAUAUUGCACAAUGGGCGCAAGCCUGAUGCAGCGACGCCGCGUGGGGGAUGAAGGCCUUCGGGUUGUAAACUCCUUUCGCUAGGGACGAAGCUUUGUUGUGACGGUACCUAGAUAAGAAGCACCGGCUAACUACGUG